rnacentral:rRNA from 1 species
UACGUAGGGUGCGAGCGUUAAUCGGAAUUACUGGGCGUAAAGCGUGCGCAGGCGGUUUUGUAAGUCUGAUGUGAAAUCCCCGGGCUCAACCUGGGAAUUGCAUUGGAGACUGCAAGGCUAGAAUCUGGCAGAGGGGGGUAGAAUUCCACGUGUAGCAGUGAAAUGCGUAGAGAUGUGGAGGAACACCGAUGGCGAAGGCAGCCCCCUGGGUCAAGAUUGACGCUCAUGCACUAAAGCGUGGGGAGCAAACAGG